rnacentral:lncRNA from 1 species
CAUUUUCUGGCUCGGGCAAUUAAAGAAGUUGAUCGGAGGAACAAAGCUUGACAGAUCGGAGAAAUCAACCUAGAUCUAAUGACGGUGGCGCUACGACGGAAGUAUAACGGAAAAAGUAUAAAAUGCAAGAACUCAAGAUCAGAGAGAGAAGAGAACGAACCUUGAAAAUUUUCCUUUGCAGUUGCGAAAUGAAAAAAUGAGUCGGAGACUUAACAUUUAUAGAGAUUUAGGGCGCGUCGGGUACGAAC